rnacentral:rRNA from 1 species
GAUGAACGCUGGCGGCGUGCCUAAUACAUGCAAGUCGAGCGAACGGACGAGAAGCUUGCUUUUCUGAUGUUAGCGGCGGACGGGUGAGUAACACGUGGAUAACCUACCUAUAAGACUGGGAUAACUUCGGGAAACCGGAGCUAAUACCGGAUAAUAUUUUGAACCGCAUGGUUCAAAAGUGAAAGACGGUCUUGCUGUCACUUAUAGAUGGAUCCGCGCUGCAUUAGCUAGUUGGUAAGGUAACGGCUUACCAAGGCAACGAUGCAUAGCCGACCUGAGAGGGUGAUCGGCCAAACUGGAACUGAGACACGGUCCAGACUCCUACGGGAGGCAGCAGUAGGGAAUCUUCCGCAAUGGGCGAAAGCCUGACGGAGCAACGCCGCGUGAGUGAUGAAGGUCUUCGGAUCGUAAAACUCUGUUAUUAGGGAAGAACAUAUGUGUAAGUAACUGUGCACAUCUUGACGGCACCUAAUCAGAAAGCCACGGCUAACUACGUG